GUGCAACACAGCAGAGGAGAAAGAGAAAAAUUACAUCAAAAUAAUCCGCGCCAAUUAACAACGAAACCUCGCAAAAAUGUUAUUUUUCUUUAAAUGCUUAGCCAUCUUUGUCACGUUGCAAAUGCAAACUCUACAAAAGAACAAUUUAGCAUUUAAAUAUGCUACAUCUGUAUUCCAGUUAUAUAGUCACUUGCGCAGGUUUAUUAUUACUAAAUAGCACAAAAAUAACUGUGUUAAAUCAUAAUUUCACAAGCUACCGUUUUGCUGACCAACACUUUCGGUUUGGGGGUUUACAAAUAUGAUCGAGUAGAGUUUCUUGUUCUAGUGAUGAAUCAAAAUUCAAAAUGAUCAUUUCUAUUUCCUUCUCUAUACACACUGAACAAUUUGAUGUCAGGACAAAACACAAGGAUAGGAAAGAAAAAAGAGCCAAAAAACAACAACAACAACAAUAAGAAAAGCUAUGAGAGGUUAGAGAAAGUUUAAUAACAUUAUCUGGCUCUCGGGAAGCAAAAGCAGAAAAAUUAAAUUAUGGGAUUAAAACCAUUUCACAACACUGUUUGUUUCAAAGGGAAUAGAAAUUAAAAAAAUCUAACUAAUAAACUAAAUCAUUGUAAUCUAAUUGCUGAAAUAAACACAAAAACCCUUAGUAAAUUCUAUCUUAAUUUUUAAAUGUUCCUAGUUUGAAAUAAUAAGAGACAGAGCGCUUUAGUCAAACAUUUUUCUUAGAAAUCAACAGUAAAAACAAGUCAACGGCAUUUUUGAUCCUCUUCCAGCCUCACUGUUAUUAAAUGCUGCAAAAGCCGGGAACCUCGAGGGUCCCUGACAGCACAGAGAAAGUUAAAUAAAAAAAUCUAGCUUGUUAGUUAAAGACAAAUGUACUGUCUAUGUCAGACAGUAACUAUAGACUCAGCUCUGUCAGUGAGGUAAAAUGUUUAAAGGAGUCUGUCAUCAGAAAAUGAUGCAGGGAAGAAAUCAUCUGCUGAAGCAUAGAGGGUAAAUACUUUUUACGACCGAGGCUCUCCUGACGUUCUGCAUCUCUGUCUGUGUGCAGACGUUAGGCUGUGGGCUCCUGAUCUGUGAUGUGGAACUAUGAGGGAUUAUGAAGUGUCAGGGUGACAUAUCACUGUAACACCGAGGAGCAGGAGUGGCUGUCAUCCUGAAAUAUGUUUCAGUUUUCACUCCACAGCCCCGAAGCCUCCGCAUGUAUACAGAAAGUGUGUGCUUCAGCUUUUUCCUGUGAGAACUCGUACUGCGGUAAAGCAGCUAUACACUCUAUUUGUGAAAAGGACAAGUGAACCCAAAGGGACAUGAUGGUGCAUUUAGAGAGAGGACUAAUCCUCAGUCGACGAGGGUUAAUGUGAGCAUUAAGAUGCUGCUGGCUUCUUCUGCUUUUUUUAAUUUGAGCAUUAAAUUCACAUUUUCCCUCAAAUUAGGGAUAAUCACACACUACUACUUCAUAGAGUUUGGUUCUCUUCCAGAUUUUGCACUUUAUUAUGGUUUUUUUUUUUUUGGUUGAUAUGUGCUGCUCACAGAUUUUAUGUUAUUUUAUGAAGACAUGAGGAAUCUAAACUAAAGAAAACCCAUAAAAGGGAAGAUUUGUUUUUUGAACUGGUCACAACUGUACUUUGUUUUUGAUUUAAGACAUGUAAAAAAAAAACAAAAUAUAAAACAUAACAGCUGUCUUUGCCAGGGCUCUCAAGAGGUUUUCAUCCCUAGUUAAACAGGGCAUUAAAAAUAAAUGAAUUUUACAGCUUGAUUUUAUUUUAUUUGAUGCAGGUGUCAAGUGUUUCUCAACACACAGUUCAUAAAUUUCCCAACGGCGUUUGCAGAAUGAACUGUGACACUGUUCCCCUUUAGACUACAUGUAACUGUAGAGAAAACUUUACCACCAAACCAAUAUGUCACAGGAACUGCAUGUCAAAAUUUCUGAACAGUGAAGUAAAUGUUUGUUUGUGAAUGAAAACACAAUUAUUACCAAAGGGAUUUGUCAUUACAACAAAAUAAAUAAAUAACAUUUUCUUUUGGCGCAUACUUGGUCAUUUCAGCACUGAUGGCGUUAUCAAAUAAUCGUUGACUAGUUUGCUUUUACCCAAGACUUGUAGAUUUUUUUUAUUUUCGAAAGAUGUCAAUAAUGAGUAAAAGCCAAUUAUUAAUACCUGGUAAGUUAUUACUGUUGUCAAAAUAAUUAAUACUUUAUUGACAGAAAAUAAAUAUUUAAAGAUGUUCCUUUGCAUCAAAUCCACACUCGCCCAAAUGGUUGUCCUUCCCGCAGCCUCUCCUGACCAAAACAAGCUGCUGCUGGAAGUUUAGCAUAGCGAGUAAAUCAACAAAUAACUUAUUGGACCAUCUUAAGCGGACAAGCCGAACACAGCAGCGUUGCUGCAAGAAAAUAAUGCUGAGUGAUGCUACAUGCUAACGCUACAAGCUAACGCUAUGAAACGGAUGUUUAUCAGCAACUUAAAAAGCUUCACAGACGGAGUCUAGUCAGUCUGCGCUCCCCCGACUCAAAUCCCACCGUAAAGGGGUCAUCGAGUGUGCAUCACUUUUAAUACAGCCUAACCCACUGACCCAGCUGGCAUGUCCUGCCAGUCCAUCCUGGUGGACAGAGACACCGGAAACUCCCAGGAGCCUCCUGACAAGUCGCUCCACGUCCGCAGGGGUUCCGAUCACAUUGCCGCACCGCUGGGAGGAGAAAGAGAGAACAUUUCGUUCGUGAGCUGCUGGUCUGCGUUAAGGGGAAUGCUUCCCAUGUGUGCGGAAUCGACAAUCACCGUCUGCACAGGUGUUUCCGGUCCAGCCUUCGGGGCAGACGCAGCUGAAGCCAUUGGGG